rnacentral:rRNA from 1 species
CGCGUAGGUGGUUUGGUCAGUCAGACGUGAAAGCCCUGGGCUUAACCUGGGAAUUGCAUUUGAUACUGCCAGACUAGAGUAUGGUAGAGGGAAGUGGAAUUCCGGGUGUAGCGGUGAAAUGCGUAGAUAUCCGGAGGAACAUCAGUGGCGAAGGCGGCUUCCUGGACCAAUACUGACACUGAGGUGCGAAAGCGUGGGUAGCAAACA